rnacentral:lncRNA from 1 species
AUUUAAGCACCUAGCCCUGUUGACCACUGCUCACGAAGAGGAUGACUUAUCUCAGGCUAUAGCGCUGGGGCUGACCCGAUGCUUGCAUAUAGGAGACACGCAAGAUGAGCCAGGUAGUAUAAUGCACUUCGUGUAUCACUCCAGCAUCUAAUAGCUUUUGAACUUCGCUUUGCGCUGCUAAAGUUUUCUCCGGAGAUAACGCCCUCAACUUCUGUCUACGUGGUGGCAUUUUUGGAUGCGUUUCUAGCUUCUGUUCAAUGACACUUUGCGGGACACAUUGCAAAUCUUUUUUUGCCCCAUGAAAACACAUCUUGGUUAUUUCUAAGGCAAGUUACUAAGAAUUGUUCUUCUUCUUCGGACAAGUCUCUUGCUAUAAUGACUAUCUUGUCCAAAACAUCUUCGCACAAUUGUAGUCUUUUGGUAUGCUCAAUGGGAUGAACUCUCUCUUCAUCUUUUGAUUUCCCAUCUUGCUCUUUGAACUUGACCUCCCC